AACUUUUAUUUACACCCAAAUCGCCAGGGAACUACGAGCCAAGCUUAAAACCCAAAGGACUUGACGGUACCCCAUAUCCCCCUAGAGGAGCCUGUCCUAUAAUUGAUAAUCCACGUUUAACCUCACCAUUUCUAGUUAAUCAGCCUGUAUACCUCCGUCGUCAGCUUACCACGUGAGCGCUAAUUAGUGAGCCUAAUGUUAUUUCACCAAUACGUCAGGUCAAGGUGCAGCAAAUGAAGUGGGAAGAGAUGGGCUACACUUUCUAUAUUAGAAAAAACGAAAAACUAUCUAUGAAACCUAGUUAGAAGGCGGAUUUAGUAGUAAAAAGGAAUCAGCAUGUCCAUUUUAACCCGGCACUGGGGUGUGU
rnacentral:rRNA from 1 species